UUUUCAUAAUUGGCUCAAAUCCAAAAAUAUCAUCAUUAACCCUUUAAAUUGGAAUGCAAUUAAAAUUCGAUUACAGUUAAUUGACAAAAAUCUGGACUUUCUAAUUAAUGCACUGAUUGUAAUUUCAAAGCAUUUUAUUCAUACUUGUAAAUUCUUAAAUGUGAAACCUCACAUUAAUAGAUUACUCAACCGUCUCAACCUAAUCUCUAAAUUUUUACAUUACAUGAAUCAUAAGAACGCCCAGACAUUGUGUAAUUUAUUUGAUCUAUUUAUACUUUUGCUAUAGACCCUUACAUUUAUUGAUUAUUUUUUAAGUUAUCUUUGUUUUCAUAUUUUUUUUUUUUGUCUAUGAGACGUGAUGACGUCAUAACGUACGCCCAUGAACGUGAACUCAGCCACAGAAGUCUUCAAGAUGGCUUAGGUCCGAUGCGAGUGUCAGCUGGCCCAAGUUGAUAACGCACAUACGUCUAGUGAACCGGCGGUGCGUUUGAAAAAUAAGAGCGGAGACAGACGCAGAGGAUGCUGAUCUUGUUGAGACAGAAGGCAGCACGAACCGGAAGGCUCUAUGCGACAUUCUGCACCUCUAUGAUAAACAGGUGAGGUGUAACUGCAUGGCAUGAUCAACAUUAUGCAUUAGUGUAGCUAAAAGAAGGGGCUGACUUGGAUCGGUUCAUACUAAUCACUGAGCGUUUCUAAUAAAGUGAAUGACUGUAAAUGUUUACUUGUUUAAUUUAUAAAUAAUAUGAUUAA